CGGGAGCCGAGUGAAAAAUCACGUCGCUGAUGUGUGUGCGUUCAGGAAAAUGGCCUCACUGUUACGCUGGACCUGGAGAUGUGGAGUGUGAUUUCUGCACUGGGAGAAAACACAAAGCCAUCAAGUCCUGUCUGAUGUGUGUGGCCUCCUUUUGUGAAACUCAUUUAAAACCUCAUCUUAAAAUUCCUGCUUUGAAAAAGCACAAGUUAGUUGAAGCUUAAGUCUAACCUUCACACAAUGCAGCUACACAGAAACAGCCAUUUUAAUGUGUUAAUUAAAACAGAGGAGUAACUUUAUAAUGAUUAAAAAAGGAAAUGUUCAAAAUGAACUCUCAGAUAAGAAACUAGUAGAACUGAAAAAGAAUAUACUGAUACUAUGAGAUUUUGUGAUCCAGAAUGAAGUGUGUAUUGUUUAUGUAUAAUUCCUGCAUGUUUCCUGGAUUCUCUGCUGGGAUUUCAUCUGCUCCUCCGUUAACUCUCUCUGAGGACACAUCGAUCACAUUCAGCUCUUUAUAUAGGAUUUGUUUGGGGUUCCUCACCAGGAUGAAACUAUCAGGAUACUAUGAAGUACUAUCGUUCUGUCCACUAGAGGGCACCCUAAAUUUUCAUGCAGAAGUUCUUCUUUGGUUGUCUGCAUAAUUUCCUGUCUUUAUUAUUCUCAUGUGUUUGUUAUUUUCCUGAUUAGUUUCCUUAUUUAAGUUUUUUCUUUCUUCACUUGCUGGAGAAUUGUGUGUUUAAGUUAGUCAUGACUGCACGUCACAUGAACACAUGGUCUUUGCUAGGCCUAGGGUUAGGGGUGUGAUAGGGUUCACUGAUCUCACACACCCACUCGUUUGUGUAAUGCAUCACAUUCACUAGCAAAACUACUUAAGUUCCAGUUUUUCAGCGUCUCACUGAAGCUUUCGUUCUUGUAGUAUCUGCUGUGUUUUGUUCUUGUCCUAUAGUCUGUAUGUGUCUUGCUUCGUAUCCAUAGUUCCUGUUGACGGUUCUUGUUGUCAUGGUUUUGUUUGUUUUUUGUUUUCCACAAUAAAUGACCCACUCU